AUUGAACGCUGGCGGCAGGCCUAACACAUGCAAGUCGAGCGAGCGGCGGACGGGUGAGUAAUGUAUGGGGAUAUGCCCGAUAGAGGGGGAUAACUACUGGAAACGGUGGCUAAUACCGCAUACUAACGGAUGAACCAAUAUGGGAUUAGCUAGUAGGUGGGGUAAAGGCGCACCUAGGCGACGAUCUCUAGCUGGUCUGAGAGGAUGAUCAGCCACACUGGGACUGAGACACGGCCCAGACUCCUACGGGAGGCAGCAGUGGGGAAUAGUGCACAAUGUGCGCAAGCCUGAGGCAGCCAUGCCGCGUGUAUGAAGAAGGCCGUCGGGUUGUAAAGUACUUUCAGCGAGGAGGCGUUACUCGCAGAAGAAGCACCGGCUAACUCCGUGCCAGCCGCCGCGGAAUAC
rnacentral:rRNA from 1 species